rnacentral:lncRNA from 1 species
GACAAUGACUGGACGCCACGUGUCAUUAAAAGGUCCAUGUGGAAUUUUUUUUUUUUUGAGAAGGGGUUCAAAAAAAAAAAAAAAAAAACAGUGGUUCCUAAAACUGCAGCAACCAUGGCUUUAUCUUCAUCAUCCCAAACCCCUCAUCCUAAACCUAUCUCAAUCUUCAUCUCCAAAAUCCAAAAAAAUCAACAACCCUACAAAAAUCGAGCUAAAAUUUUCAAAACCCAGAUAAAAUCUCAGCCCCAAAUACCCCCUAAACCAUGAAAAAAAAUCAAACAACAAAGAAAUCUGGAAAAUCCAAUAAAAACCCAAAUCCAAGUUUCCGUCGAUCCGCACGCAGAGCCAUGAAGAUCAGAACUUUGAAGCUCCGAGAAGCCCACGAGCAGCGGCGGGUGGCCGUCGUACUGCUCGGUGAUGUGGGACCAGUAGGCCUACCACGUCGUGACGACCUCCUUCUUCGACCCCACAAUCGCCAUCCACAACUCUCUUAUCCUGUCCAGCUAUCCCAAGCUCCUCCGCCACCGCUGCGACAACGUCAUGACUCUCGCUCUCAGCCCCAAUUCCACGUGCCUCACCUCCAGCUCCGUCAACCACUCCGUCAAGCUCUACAAGUUUCCCGGUCAAUAUCUCCCAACCAAGUAAACAGACAACACCCAGAUCUGAAUUUCCAUCCAAAAUCAAAUACAACAAACUAGGGUUUCGUAAUUUGAGAAAUUGGGAUAUGAGAUUUUGGUAUAACAAGGAGAAAAAUAACAAAUUCAUAAUAAAGUUUAAAGCUUUUAAAUAUACAAAUAUGCACAAGAAUGUAAAUGGCAGGUUAAUAGUACAAAGACCCAUAUAUUCAAAUUUUAGAUAGAGAAAAAGAGACUGUGAGAGAGGAGAGAAAAGAGAGGAGAAAAGAGAGAGAAAACUUACUCAGGUGGGUGUAAAACGGCUCUUUAUGGUUUUUCCCUUCUGGCGAGAGAGAGAGAGCGGAGAGAAACCUGAGAGAGAGAGAGAGAGAGAGGAAAGAGGAAAGAGGAGAGGAGAGAAGAGAGAGGAGAGAAGGGAGUGAGCGGUGGAGAUGGAAGUUGGCGCGGGCGAGGGAGCAAGGGGCGUACUGUCGCACCAGUGGGGAAGACAAAGGG